CAUAUCAAUAAGCGGAGGAAAAGAAACUAACAAGGAUUCCCCUAGUAACUGCGAGUGAAGCGGGAAAAGCUCAAAUUUAAAAUCUGGCAGCCUUCGGUUGUCCGAGUUGUAAUCUAGAGAAGUGUUAUCCGCGCUGGACCGUGUACAAGUCUCCUGGAAUGGAGCGUCAUAGAGGGUGAGAAUCCCGUCUUUGACACGGACUGCCAGGGCUUUGUGAUGCGCUCUCAAAGAGUCGAGUUGUUUGGGAAUGCAGCUCAAAAUGGGUGGUAAAUUCCAUCUAAAGCUAAAUAUUGGCGAGAGACCGAUAGCGAACAAGUACCGUGAGGGAAAGAUGAAAAGAACUUUGGAAAGAGAGUUAAACAGUACGUGAAAUUGCUGAAAGGGAAACGCUUGAAGUCAGUCGCGUUGUCCAGGGAUCAACCUUGCUUUUGCUUGGUGCACUUUCUGGUUGACGGGUCAGCAUCAAUUUUGACUAUUGGAAAAAGAUUAGGGGAAUGUGGCAUCCUCGGAUGUGUUAUAGCCCUUAGUUGCAUACAAUGGUUGGGAUUGAGGAACUCAGCACGCCGCAAGGCCGGGUUUUUAACCACGUACGUGCUUAGGAUGCUGGCAUAAUGGCUUUAAUCGACCCGUCUUGAAACACGGACCAAGGAGUCUAACAUGCCUGCGAGUGUUUGGGUGGAAAACCCGAGCGCGUAAUGAAAGUGAAAGUUGAGAUCCCUGUCGUGGGGAGCAUCGACGCCCGGACCAGACCUUUUGUGACGGUUCCGCGGUAGAGCAUGUAUGUUGGGACCCGAAAGAUGGUGAACUAUGCCUGAAUAGGGUGAAGCCAGAGGAAACUCUGGUGGAGGCUCGUAGCGAUUCUGACGUGCAAAUCGAUCGUCAAAUUUGGGUAUAGGGGCGAAAGACUGG
rnacentral:rRNA from 1 species